CAUAAUGUUCCGGUUGUUCGCGGGUAUUAUUAUACUGUCAUCAGCUCAAGCCUCAAUUUCAUCAAGUUCAUCUUCAGAAACGUUAGACGAUUUAACAUCAAUAUUGGAUAGACUUUCAAGUGCUGAAUCAGAGUUAAGCGAUGAAGAAAAUAAAAGUCAUGGUAAAUAAAAUCAAUAAAUCUAUACAACUGGAGAAAAAUGCCGAAGCACAUAUAGCAUACAUAUGUGCUUCGGUUAUUGUUAGUUGUAAUAUAUUCCCUUCUCUGAUUUGAUCUAAAUUUGUUUAUGUACUAAACCCGCUACUACGCUCUACACCCUUGACUUGCGAACUGGUAGUAAAUGUAAAUUAACCAUUAAUUUAAUUUUUUUGACGUUUAUAGUAUACUUGUUUACGUCUAUGAAGAACUUGAAGCACUUUUAGAAUUACUUUAGAAUAGAUUUUAAUGAUAUCUAACAUUUUAGCAAAGACGUUUAUAAAUCUAACGCUGACCUCCAUCAACAUAUCUCAUGUUCACUGAAAUCAACAUCGACGAUAAAAUAAUUGUUCAAUUAUAUUCGCAAUUGGUAUAACGGUAAAGAAGAACUGGCCAUAAACUUUCCUCCACUCUUUUUAAUAAUCAGAUAGGCUAUUUAGUACUGUACUAAUUAUUAUUAGUUUUCAAAGGGCUUGUGGCAUUAUGGACUAAUCUUGUUAAUGUUGUGGUCGAGUUAAUUU